GACGAACGCUGGCGGCGUGCUUAACACAUGCAAGUCGAACGGAAAGGCCCUGCUUUUGUGGGGUGCUCGAGUGGCGAACGGGUGAGUAACACGUGAGUAACCUGCCCUUGACUUUGGGAUAACUUCAGGAAACUGGGGCUAAUACCGGAUAGGAGCUCCUGCUGCAUGGUGGGGGUUGGAAAGCUUCGGCGGUUGGGGAUGGACUCGCGGCUUAUCAGCUUGUUGGUGGGGUAGUGGCUUACCAAGGCUUUGACGGGUAGCCGGCCUGAGAGGGUGACCGGCCACAUUGGGACUGAGAUACGGCCCAGACUCCUACGGGAGGCAGCAGUGGGGAAUAUUGCACAAUGGGCGGAAGCCUGAUGCAGCAACGCCGCGUGCGGGAUGGCGGCCUUCGGGUUGUAAACCGCUUUCGCCUGUGACGAAGCGUGAGUGACGGUAAUGGGUAAAGAAGCACCGGCUAACUACGUG
rnacentral:rRNA from 1 species